GACUCCCCUGCGGGGUGGAGGUCAAAGGCUUCUGACCUUCUCCAUCUUCUCCUUCCCCGUCUUCCGGUUUUGGGUGCUGAUCUCCGCCCAUUGCCAUUGUUAGCUGCACUUUGAGUGGAGGAGAACCGGCCCAAGAGCGUGUUCUAGAGCCAGGACUUGGGUACUCCUUCGAGAGCGCUGAGAGCGCGCAACGGGCCCCCGGACUCCUGAAGAAGGUGACAGAGGGGACACCCUCGUGAGGGCCAGACUGUCAGGAGCAGAGACAGCUGGCGAGGUCGACCUCUGACCCCUCCUGCGCGGCCAGAACGCUUCUCAGGCCAAAAGAACGCCAAACGGAGCCUCCUCUGUGAUCCCUGGGGGAUUUCAGAUUUCUCGGCCCCUGGUUGUAUAUGAGAAGGGAGGACAGACGUAGGCCUGAGCUUGUUUGGACGUCCACGCGGCCCCAUGCGGCGGCUGCAGCCACAGGAUUUCAGAGAACAUCCAGAGCUCAUGAAGGACCUCCUUCCCAGGCCUACCUGGAGACAACUAUUCAUCUGUCAAAUACCAUCUUAAAUGCCAUUUCCUCCGAGAGACUGCUUAUUAUUCUGCAUUUCUGCUGCUUCUAG
rnacentral:lncRNA from 1 species